CAUUACCGAGUUAUCCAACUCCCAACCCCUGUGAAUUAUACCUUU
rnacentral:rRNA from 1 species